rnacentral:tRNA from 1 species
AAAGCCUUAGCUUAAUUAAAGCGUCUGCUUUGCAUGCAGAAGAUGUGGGAUAGUAUCCUGCAGGUUUUA